AUGAACGCUAGCGACAGGCUUAACACAUGCAAGUCGAGGGGCAGCACAGGUAGCAAUACCGGGUGGCGACCGGCGCACGGGUGAGUAACGCGUAUGCAACUUGCCUAUCAGAGGGGGAUAACCCGGCGAAAGUCGGACUAAUACCGCAUGAAGCAGGGGCCCCGCAUGGGGAUAUUUGCUAAAGAUUCAUCGCUGAUAGAUAGGCAUGCGUUCCAUUAGGCAGUUGGCGGGGUAACGGCCCACCAAACCGACGAUGGAUAGGGGUUCUGAGAGGAAGGUCCCCCACAUUGGUACUGAGACACGGACCAAACUCCUACGGGAGGCAGCAGUGAGGAAUAUUGGUCAAUGGCCGAGAGGCUGAACCAGCCAAGUCGCGUGAGGGAUGAAGGUUCUAUGGAUCGUAAACCUCUUUUAUAAGGGAAUAAAGUGCGGGACGUGUCCCGUUUUGUAUGUACCUUAUGAAUAAGGAUCGGCUAACUCCGUGCCAGCAGCCGCGGUAAUACGGAGGAUCCGAGCGUUAUCCGGAUUUAUUGGGUUUAAAGGGUGCGUAGGCGGCCUUUUAAGUCAGCGGUGAAAGUCUGUGGCUCAACCAUAGAAUUGCCGUUGAAACUGGGGGGCUUGAGUAUGUUUGAGGCAGGCGGAAUGCGUGGUGUAGCGGUGAAAUGCAUAGAUAUCACGCAGAACCCCGAUUGCGAAGGCAGCCUGCCAAGCCAUUACUGACGCUGAUGCACGAAAGCGUGGGGAUCAAACAGGAUUAGAUACCCUGGUAGUCCACGCAGUAAACGAUGAUCACUAGCUGUUUGCGAUACACUGUAAGCGGCACAGCGAAAGCGUUAAGUGAUCCACCUGGGGAGUACGCCGGCAACGGUGAAACUCAAAGGAAUUGACGGGGGCCCGCACAAGCGGAGGAACAUGUGGUUUAAUUCGAUGAUACGCGAGGAACCUUACCCGGGUUUGAGCGCAUUCGGACCGAGGUGGAAACACCUUUUCUAGCAAUAGCCGUUUGCGAGGUGCUGCAUGGUUGUCGUCAGCUCGUGCCGUGAGGUGUCGGCGUAAGUGCCAUAACGAGCGCAACCCUUGCCACUAGUUACUAACAGGUAAAGCUGAGGACUCUGGUGGGACUGCCAGCGUAAGCUGCGAGGAAGGCGGGGAUGACGUCAAAUCAGCACGGCCCUUACAUCCGGGGCGACACACGUGUUACAAUGGCGUGGACAAAGGGAAGCCACCUGGCGACAGGGAGCGAAUCCCCAAACCACGUCUCAGUUCGGAUCGGAGUCUGCAACCCGACUCCGUGAAGCUGGAUUCGCUAGUAAUCGCGCAUCAGCCAUGGCGCGGUGAAUACGUUCCCGGGCCUUGUACACACCGCCCGUCAAGCCAUGGGAGCCGGGGGUACCUGAAGUCCGUAACCGCGAGGAUCGGCCUAGGGUAAAACUGGUGACUGGGGCU
rnacentral:rRNA from 1 species